ensembl:snRNA U6 U6 spliceosomal RNA
GUGCUCGAUUUGGCAGCACAUAUACUAAAAUUGGAACGAUACAGAGAUUAGCAUGGCUGCUGUGCAAGGAUGACAUGCAAAUUUGUGAAGCGUUCCAUAUUUUU